rnacentral:rRNA from 1 species
CGUAGCGAAAGCUACGCUAAUACCGCAUACUUUCUACGGAUGAAAGCGGGGGACCGUAAGGCCUCGCGCGAUUGGAGCGGCCGAUGUCAGAUUAGGUAGUUGGUGGGGUAAAGGCUCACCAAGCCAACGAUCUGUAGCUGGUCUGAGAGGACGACCAGCCACACUGGAACUGAGACACGGUCCAGACUCCUACGGGAGGCAGCAGUGGGGAAUUUUGGACAAUGGACGCAAGCCUGAUCCAGCCAUUCCGCGUGCAGGACGAAGGCCUUCGGGUUGUAAACUGCUUUUGUACGGAACGAAAAAGCCUUGGUUAAUACCCGGGGUCCAUGACGGUACCGUAAGAAUAAGCACCGGCUAACUACGUGCCAGCAGCCGCGGUAAUACGUAGGGUGCAAGCGUUAAUCGGAAUUACUGGGCGUAAAGCGUGCGCAGGCGGUUAUAUAAGACAGAUGUGAAAUCCCCGGGCUCAACCUGGGAACUGCAUUUGUGACUGUAUAGCUAGAGUACGGCAGAGGGGGAUGGAAUUCCGCGUGUAGCAGUGAAAUGCGUAGAUAUGCGGAGGAACACCGAUGGCGAAGGCAAUCCCCUGGACCUGUACUGACGCUCAUGCACGAAAGCGUGGGGAGCAAACAGGAUUAGAUACCCUGGUAGUCCACGCCCUAAACGAUGUCAACUGGUUGUUGGGUCUUCACUGACUCAGUAACGAAG